rnacentral:rRNA from 1 species
UGGACCUGAUAUCAGGCAAGAUUACCCGCUGAACUUAAGCAUAUCAUAAA